AGCGUACAAGGUGGAUGCCUUGGCAAUCAGAGGCGAGGAAGGACGUGCUAAUCUGCGAAAAGCUUGGAUGAGUCGAUAAGAGGCGUUUAAUCCAAGAUGUCCGAAUGGGGAAACCCAGUAGAUGAAGAAUCUACUAUCACUUACUGAAUCCAUAGGUAAGUGAGGCAAACCGGGAGAACUGAAACAUCUAAGUACCCCGAGGAAAAGAAAUCAACCGAGAUUUCGUUAGUAGCGGCGAGCGAACGCGAAGGAGCCUGUUAGUGAUAAUGACAGAGACAGAGGAACAAGCUGGGAAGCUUGGCGAUACAGGGUGAUAGCCCCGUACUCGAAGUCCAGGUCAUGGUACUAAGCUAACGACAAGUAGGGCGGGACACGUGAUAUCCUGUUUGAAGAUGGGGGGACCAUCCUCCAAGGCUAAAUACUCCUGAUUGACCGAUAGUGAACCAGUACUGUGAAGGAAAGGCGAAAAGAACCCCGGUGAGGGGAGUGAAAUAGAACCUGAAACCUUGUACGUACAAGCAGUGGGAGCCCUUUAAGGGUGACUGCGUACCUUUUGUAUAAUGGGUCAGCGACUUAUAUUUUGUAGCGAGGUUAACCGAAUAGGGGAGCCGAAGGGAAACCGAGUCUUAACUGGGCGUCUAGUUGCAAGGUAUAGACCCGAAACCCGGUGAUCUAGCCAUGGGCAGGUUGAAGGUUGGGUAACACUAACUGGAGGACCGAACCGACUAAUGUUGAAAAAUUAGCGGAUGACUUGUGGCUGGGGGUGAAAGGCCAAUCAAACCGGGAGAUAGCUGGUUCUCCCCGAAAUCUAUUUAGGUAGAGCCUUGAGCGGACACCUUCGGGGGUAGAGCACUGUUUCGGCUAGGGGUCCAUCCCGGAUUACCAACCCGAUGCAAACUACGAAUACCGAAGAGUGAUACUCAGGAGACACACGGCGGGUGCUAACGUCCGUCGUGGAGAGGGAAACAACCCAGACCGCCAGCUAAGGUCCCAAAGUCUAUAUUAAGUGGGAAACGAAGUGGGAAGGCUUAGACAGCUAGGAUGUUGGCUUAGAAGCAGCCAUCAUUUAAAGAAAGCGUAAUAGCUCACUAGUCGAGUCGGCCUGCGCGGAAGAUGUAACGGGGCUCAAAUAUAGCACCGAAGCUGCGGCAUCAGUAGCAAUACUGUUGGGUAGGGGAGCGUUCUGUAAGCGGAUGAAGAUGGCUCGAGAGGGCUGUUGGACGUAUCAGAAGUGCGAAUGCUGACAUAAGUAACGAUAAAACGGGUGAAAAACCCGUUCGCCGGAAGACCAAGGGUUCCUGUCCAACGUUAAUCGGGGCAGGGUGAGUCGGCCCCUAAGGCGAGGCUGAAAAGCGUAGUCGAUGGGAAACGGGUUAAUAUUCCCGUACUUGGAUAAACUGCGAUGUGGGGACGGAGUAGGUUAGGUUAUCGCACUGUUGGAUAUGUGCGUUUAAGUUUGUAGGUGUGAAGUUUAGGCAAAUCCGGACUUCUAUAACACUGAGAGAUGAUGACGAGGCUCUACGGAGCUGAAGUAACCGAUACCACACUUCCAGGAAAAGCCACUAAGCUUCAGGUUUAUCUAAACCGUACUGAAAACCGACACAGGUGGUCAGGUAGAGAAUACUCAGGCGCUUGAGAGAACUCGGGUGAAGGAACUAGGCAAAAUAGCACCGUAACUUCGGGAGAAGGUGCGCCGGCGUAGAUUGUAGUCCCUUGCGGAUGAAGGUUGAACCGGUCGAAGAUACCAGCUGGCUGCAACUGUUUAUUAAAAACACAGCACUCUGCAAACACGAAAGUGGACGUAUAGGGUGUGAUGCCUGCCCGGUGCUGGAAGGUUAAUUGAUGGUGUAAUCGAAAGAGAAGCUCCUGAUCGAAGCCCCAGUAAACGGCGGCCGUAACUAUAACGGUCCUAAGGUAGCGAAAUUCCUUGUCGGGUAAGUUCCGACCUGCACGAAUGGCAUAAUGAUGGCCAGGCUGUCUCCACCCGAGACUCAGUGAAAUUGAAAUCGCCGUGAAGAUGCGGUGUACCCGCGGCUAGACGGAAAGACCCCGUGAACCUUUACUAUAGCUUGACACUGAACAUUGAAUUUUGAUGUGUAGGAUAGGUGGGAGACUUAGAAGUAGUCACGCCAGUGAUUAUGGAGUCGUCCUUGAAAUACCACCCUUUAACGUUUGAUGUUCUAACGAAGAUUACGAAACGUGGUCUCGGACAGUGUCUGGUGGGUAGUUUGACUGGGGCGGUCUCCUCCCAAAGAGUAACGGAGGAGCACGAAGGUUAGCUAAUCCUGGUCGGACAUCAGGAGGUUAGU
rnacentral:rRNA from 1 species